CGCGUAGGCGGCUUGAUAAGUCGGGGGUGAAAGCCUGUGGCUCAACCACAGAAUUGCCUUCGAUACUGUCGAGCUUGAGACCGGAAGAGGUAAGUGGAACUGCGAGUGUAGAGGUGAAAUUCGUAGAUAUUCGCAAGAACACCAGUGGCGAAGGCGGCUUACUGGUCCGGUUCUGACGCUGAGGCGCGAAAGCGUGGGAGCAAACA
rnacentral:rRNA from 1 species